GGUUAAGCGACUAAGCGUACACGGUGGAUGCCCUGGCAGUCAGAGGCGAUGAAGGACGUGCUAAUCUGCGAUAAGCGUCGGUAAGGUGAUAUGAACCGUUAUAACCGGCGAUUUCCGAAUGGGGAAACCCAGUGUGUUUCGACACACUAUCAUUAACUGAAUCCAUAGGUUAAUGAGGCGAACCGGGGGAACUGAAACAUCUAAGUACCCCGAGGAAAAGAAAUCAACCGAGAUUCCCCCAGUAGCGGCGAGCGAACGGGGAGCAGCCCAGAGCCUGAAUCAGUGUGUGUGUUAGUGGAAGCGUCUGGAAAGGCGCGCGAUACAGGGUGACAGCCCCGUACACAAAAAUGCACAUGCUGUGAGCUCGAUGAGUAGGGCGGGACACGUGGUAUGUGACUGCGUACCUUUUGUAUAAUGGGUCAGCGACUUAUAUUCUGUAGCAAGGUUAACCGUAUAGGGGAGCCGAAGGGAAACCGAGUCUUAACUGGGCGUUAAGUUGCAGGGUAUAGACCCGAAACCCGGUGAUCUAGCCAUGGGCAGGUUGAAGGUUGGGUAACACUAACUGGAGGACCGAACCGACUAAUGUUGAAAAAUUAGCGGAUGACCUGUGGCUGGGGGUGAAAGGCCAAUCAAACCGGGAGAUAGCUGGUUCUCCCCGAAAGCUAUUUAGGUAGCGCCUCGUGAACUCAUCUUCGGGGGUAGAGCACUGUUUCGGCUAGGGGGCCAUCCCGGCUUACCAACCCGAUGCAAACUACGAAUACCGAAGAAUGUUAUCACGGGAGACACACGGCGGGUGCUAACGUCCGUCGUGAAGAGGGAAACAACCCAGACCGCCAGCUAAGGUCCCAAAGUCAUGGUUAAGUGGGAAACGAUGUGGGAAGGCACAGACAGCCAGGAUGUUGGCUUAGAAGCAGCCAUCAUUUAAAGAAAGCGUAAUAGCUCACUGGUCGAGUCGGCCUGCGCGGAAGAUGUAACGGGGCUAAACCAUGCACCGAAGCUGCGGCAGCGACACUAUGUGUUGUUGGGUAGGGGAGCGUUCUGUAAGCCGUUGAAGGUGUGCUGUGAGGCAUGCUGGAGGUAUCAGAAGUGCGAAUGCUGACAUAAGUAACGAUAAAGCGGGUGAAAAGCCCGCUCGCCGGAAGACCAAGGGUUCCUGUCCAACGUUAAUCGGGGCAGGGUGAGUCGACCCCUAAGGCGAGGCCGAAAGGCGUAGUCGAUGGGAAACAGGUUAAUAUUCCUGUACUUGGUGUUACUGCGAAGGGGGGACGGAGAAGGCUAUGU
rnacentral:rRNA from 1 species